GCUUCUGUGGUGUAAUGGUAGCAUACGCCCCCGGCAUGGGCGAAACACUGGUUCGACUCCCGUCUGAGGUC